AAAAAAAAAAAUUUGUUUUUUGUCUAGGAUGGCCGUGUAAAGAGUCACGACUUUUGAGACGCAUCCUAAUAGUCUUGUUGUAUUAUAUUUUGAUUUUGAGAUUUAUAGUAAGUUGUUUUUGUUCCCUUUUCUUUGAAUUACUCAAAUUUGUGAACUCUCCACUUGGUUAUUAAGUUAUUUAAUUGUUUACUCAUUUAACAGGUAUUGUUGAAUCAUUCUUCACACACACAUUAUGACACAUACUAGUGGGUUGUAAGUUAAAAUUUUACAGCAUUUAGUUCUUUUGAUUUAUUAGGAAAAGUAUCUAAGGUAGUAGAAAGUGUAUAUU
rnacentral:lncRNA from 1 species